AAACUUAAAUGAAUUGACGGGGACCCGCACAAGCGGUGGAGCAUGUGGUUUAAUUCGAAGCAACGCGAAGAACCUUACCAAAUCUUGACAUCCUUCUGACGUGCCAGUAAUGUGGCAUUCCCUUCGGGGCAGAAGAGACAGGUGGUGCAUGGUUGUCGUCAGCUCGUGUCGUGAGAUGUUGGGUUAAGUCCCGCAACGAGCGCAACCCUUAUCUUUAGUAGCCAGCAGUCAGAUGGGCACUCUAGAGAGACUGCCGGGGAUAACCCGGAGGAAGGUGGGGAUGACGUCAAAUCAUCAUGCCCCUUAUGAUUUGGGCUACACACGUGCUACAAUGGCGUAAACAAAGAGAAGCGAACCCGUGAGGUCAAGCAAAUCUCAAAAAUAACGUCUCAGUUCGGAUUGUAGUCUGCAACUCGACUACAUGAAGCUGGAAUCGCUAGUAAUCGCAGAUCAGAAUGCUGCGGUGAAUACGUUCCCGGGUCUUGUACACACCGCCCGUCACACCAUGGGAGUCAAUAACGCCCGAAGUCAGUGACCUAACCGUAAGGAAGGAGCUGCCGAAGGUGGGAUCGAUAACUGGGGUGAAGUCGUAACAAGGUAGCCGUAUCGGAAGGUGCGGCUGGAUCACCUCCUUUCUG
rnacentral:rRNA from 1 species